rnacentral:rRNA from 1 species
UACGGGAGGCAGCAGUGGGGAAUAUUGGACAAUGGGCGCAAGCCUGAUCCAGCCAUGCCGCGUGAGUGAUGAAGGCCCUAGGGUUGUAAAGCUCUUUUGUGCGGGAAGAUAAUGACGGUACCGCAAGAAUAAGCCCCGGCUAACUUCGUGCCAGCAGCCGCGGUAAUACGAAGGGGCUAGCGUUGCUCGGAAUCACUGGGCGUAAAGGGUGCGUAGGCGGGUCUUUAAGUCAGGGGUGAAAUCCUGGAGCUCAACUCCAGAACUGCCUUUUGAUACUGAGGAUCUUGAGUUCGGGAGAGGUGAGUGGAACUGCGAGUGUAGAGGUGAAAUUCGUAGAUAUUCGCAAGACACCAGUGGCGAAGGCGGCUCACUGGCCCGAUACUGACGCUGAGGCACGAAAGCGUGGGGAGCAAACGAGGAUUAGAUACCCGU